rnacentral:rRNA from 1 species
UACGUAGGGGGCAAGCGUUGUCCGGAAUUAUUGGGCGUAAAGCGCGCGCAGGCGGUUGAUUAAGUCUGGUGUUUAAGGCUGUGGCUCAACCACAGUUCGCACUGGAAACUGGUUGACUUGAGUGCAGAAGAGGAAAGUGGAAUUCCACGUGUAGCGGUGAAAUGCGUAGAGAUGUGGAGGAACACCAGUGGCGAAGGCGACUUUCUGGGCUGUAACUGACGCUGAGGCGCGAAAGCGUGGGGAGCAAACAGG